AUACGGAGGGUGCGAGCGUUGUUCGGAAUUAUUGGGCGUAAAGAGCAUGUCGGCGGUCUGUUAAGUCUGGUGUGAAAGCCCGGGGCUCAACCCCGGAAGUGCAUUGGAUACUGGCAGACUUGAGUAUGGGAGAGGAAAGCGGAAUUCCGAGUGUAGGAGUGAAAUCCGUAGAUAUUCGGAGGAACACCAGUGGCGAAGGCGGCUUUCUGGACCAAUACUGACGCUGAGAUGCGAAAGCGUGGGGAGCAAACAGGAUUAGAAACCCGAGUAGUCC
rnacentral:rRNA from 1 species